CACAAAGAUCGAAAGUAAUGAAUCUUAUUUUCUACUUUUUUUGAGAGUUUUAUAUAUGAAAGCGAAAGAAAAGAACAAAAAGAUCCCAGGUUACU
rnacentral:ribozyme from 1 species